rnacentral:rRNA from 1 species
UACGUAGGGGGCUAGCGUUGUCCGGAAUCAUUGGGCGUAAAGCGCGUGUAGGCGGCCCGGUAAGUCCGCUGUGAAAGUCGGGGGCUCAACCCUCGAAUGCCGGUGGAUACUGUCGGGCUCGAGUGCGGAAGAGGCGAGUGGAAUUCCUGGUGUAGCGGUGAAAUGCGAGCAGAGUAUCAGGAGGAACACCGAUUGCGAAGGCAGCUCGCUGGGACGUUACUGACGCUGAGACGCGAA